UAGAAAACAGGUAUGACAUCCCUUCCAAAUCUCUUCUUGCAUUCAAGUAUCUUAGUGAGUUCAUUCAAGCACCAAGUGGAAGAUGCAUAGUCUUGGGAGAAAACGAUGACAUAAAUCUUUGAUUCUUCUAUUGCAGAGAGGAGAGCAGGUGAAAUUUCUUCGCCCCUGUUUAAUCUGUAAUCAAUAUACGCUUCAAUGUUCUUCCUCUGCAGCGCUGCAUAAAGGUGACUAAUGAAGUUGUCACGUGUGUCUUCCCCUCUGAAGCUGAGAAACACAUCAUGCUUUGUUAGAGAAGUAGACACGGGGAAUGAUGAAGAACUUCCUGACAUUGGAAUCAAUUUUCUCUCCUUUCUCUGCAAAUCUCAGAUUCCUUUGUUUGUACCAUUUCUACCUGAAGAAGUGUUUAAAUUUUCUCAAAAUACCUUGCACAGCGUGUUCUGGUCAGACAUAAAGAAAAAGACAAAUAUUAAGUUAAUAGAAUAGUCAACAAUUUAAAAAAUAAGUAUGAAAUAUAGAUAUAUAUCAUUAUCACGUGUGGAAGCUACGUCGUCUUGUAUUGGAUUUUCUAAUCUGCCUUUUAUCUUGUCUCAUUCUUCUUUAUCUUUUUUCUCUCAUCUCUCUUGCUUACGAUUUCUUUGCCUUUAUUCAGAAAUUUUAUUUAUAAUAAACCUUCAAUAAUAUUUGUACUUUCUAGCAUAUAGAAUACUUAAUGGAUCCUUUUCUGAUUUUUCUUUUCUAAAGUGCAAUUGAUAUUUUAAAUGUUUUUCUAUUUAAUUUUCCUUUCUUAAUGACACAUAAAAUGGUUCAGUGCACAAUUAAUUACUCUCACCUUAGAUUUCAUUCAUCUCAUUCCAUUUCCACACUCAAAUCAUUCUCACAUUUGUUUCUACCUGUUUCACAAAGUUUUAGUUAAAAUAUGGAAAUUAAUGUUCAAGAACCCUACUUAAUAUUAAUAUUCAACAAUUUAAAAUAUUAAAAUGCAAAUUAAUCUUUCUUAAUAAUGUCAUUUUUAUGUAAAAAAUAAAAUGUAGUUUAGUCAUUUAUACUUAGAUGGAUAAAGAUGGUUUUAGAAAAAAAAAUGCAUUUUAUUUCAAAGGUUAUCUAAGCUCUGAACUCAUUUAUGAAUUAAUAAUAAUAAAUAAUAUGUAAUUGUAUUCCAAUACCAUAUAAUUUUUUUUAUUGGGUGCGUUUCUGAUGAAUUAAUUAAUGCACUCUAGGGACAAUGAUCGCUCUAGUAUUUGAUUUUUUUAUUUAUUUUAAUGUUGAAAUUAUAGCUAUUUAGUACAGAUACUAUUGACACCGACACAGAUACGACACAGACACAGAGAUACUUAAAAUCUCUAAAAUGUAAGAUACAGAGACAUUAAUCUAUAUAUUAUAUAAUUAUGAAUUAUAUAAAUUAACAAUAAAGACUUAUGUGCACAAGUAUUUUGGAGAUUAUUUUUUAAGCAGAAAUAUGUUUUUCAUGACUGUUUCACAAAGAUUUGUUUCUUAUUUUUAUAAUCAUAAUAACAAUUUAUACCAUAAAGUUUGAAUUUUAGAAAAUUAAUGUAUUUUUUCUUUUUAAAAUUCCGUUAGAAUCGUACUAAAAUUGUAAAAAAUCUAACAAAUACAUUUUGAAUUGGACAUUUCACAAAUACAUGUCCUACCAGUAUCAUACGAAUGUAAACAAAAUUCUUUCUUCAUAUGCCGCAUUCUUUUACUGUGAUAACUCAUUUCAACUCUCUCACAACUGAUUCGUAAUCUGUGGGAUGCAUUAAAGCCUUUUGCAGUUAAAUCAAUAGUAUAUGAUGAUGUGAAUGUUAUUUAUAUACUAAAUAUAAUCACAUAGUAACUUCAAAUUUGAUAAGGUACAACAUGUUACCAUAUCUCUUUUAAUUUCUUUUAUUUCAUUAUAUAUUUAGGUGUAUUUAAUUUCUUUUUAUUUCAUUGUGUAUUUAGGUGUAUUACGUAAAAUAUAUAAUUAAAAAGAAAGAAGAAUAAUGUUAUUUUUAAAUUUAAAGAAUGACAUAUAGAAAUAAACAAGCUAUUUUGAAAUUUUUAGAUUUUACAAAACAUUACAUUUUGAUUUUAAUAUUUAUAAAAUAUUUUUUAAUUUCAUAUUUAAAACACAACACUUAGUUGAGUGUGUUCCUUAGUUACUUACCAAAUAACAACAUACAUCUUAUCGGGUCUUUUUGCGACCCGACCCAAACUCAUCUCGAUCCUAGUAGGGUUCGCAUCAUCUUCAAUUGAGGAGUAGAUUUGUCAGGAGGAAAAUAAAUUGAUUUAUAAGAACAUGUGAAGUUGUUUAGAUUGAGGAAUAAUAGAUGGAUUUUGAUUAUGAUUUAUGGUAAGUUUAAAAAAAAUAGAUUUGUUUCUUUUAACAUUUUUUGUAUUAUAAUUAUUUGCUGGCUGAAUUGUUUUGAGUUAACAUGUUUUCUUGGGGUAUGAUAUUGUGAGGUUUUAUUACAUGCAGGUACGUGAAUAUUUUUUUUAUUCUAGUUGUAUAAAUCAGGAAAAAAUGUUUUUCACAAUAUAAUUAUAAUAACCGUUUAACAACCUAAAUAAUAAUAAAAUAUUAACUCAUAUUAUUUAAUUAAAUUAUUAAAUAAAAAGUAGUAAAACUGAUUGUAGGAUGGGAAUAUGAUUAUUUUUAACUGCUAGCUCCUCAUUAUUCUUUUAUAAUAAAAAACACACUAGUAGGUGUUGAAAAUCGUAAUAUAACAAACAAGUUUUGACACACGUAGGUUUGGCAAUUGUUUUAAUAGCUGAAAAUAGUAAAACAAUUUUUAAUUACCACAAACUGCAUCUUAAAUCAUAAAAAAUAGCAUUUUUUAGUUCAUAUAUAAUAACAUUUCCAUAAAUAAAUCUCCCGCCGCCAUUGAUAUUAAUCAUUAAUAAUUUUAGAUAAUAUUUUUUACUAUAAAACAUUUAAUUGAGAUUGAAUUUUUAAUUCACACUUUUUGGUCAAAGAAUAAUAUAUUUCAUUUUUUUAUUUAUUAAAUAUUUUGUAUAAUGCUGAGAAAAAAAAAUCUCACACACACACACACAUAUAUAUAUAUAUGAUCCCUAUGUCCUACAAGUACAAUAUAACAUCGUUAGUAUAAUGAAUAAAAAUAAUGAGUAUUCAAAGUCGUGUAUUUACGUAAAAGAAUAACAUGAUUUUUAAAAGAACUCACAUUAUCAGUUUAAAUUUUGACGAUAAAAUACAUUAAUUAUAUAUAUUUAUUCAAAAUUUCAAUUAUAUUAUGCAUUAAUGGUUUUAUGCUUUUAGAGGAAUCAGAGAAACUUAGAAAAGCUUAAUGAAACCCUAUGAAUAAAGGAGAUGUAAAAGAAAGAGAAAAAGGAAGUGAGAAAAGAUGAUAAUUAAUAAACACCCACUCUUCAUAACAUAGAGUCUUUAAACCUAUAUUCCCUCAAACAGCAUUUAUAAGUUAUUAUCACCCACAUGGAAUAAGGUGCCUCAAUGUGAACAAACCAAGAUCAGUAAGAAAUAUGAGGUUCAAAUAACGAAGCUGAGAAUUUUCUGGUUUUACAGCUCCAUGCACAAACCUAAUACAAUGAUAUGAUAUUCCAUAGGAUGGAGAAAAGUAUGAUAUGAAGAGGAUUUACCAAUUACCCUUUCGAAUGCAGCUCCUCAGGAUUCCAUCAUGCCUUCACUGCACAUGCAACCCAAAUAUGCUAAAGAAGUUAAUCAAACCCAAAUAUAAAGAAUUUCUAGAGAAUGCAACUCUGGGACAACAGAGUACCCCAUCUCAAGCUGAACAGAAACAUUAAACUAUAUCUAACAAUAACUUAGAAAUCUUUGUCAACAAUGAACGAAUCCAACCGUAAAAUGCCAUUGAAAAUGUAAAUAAAACAAAAUAAAUUAGAUAUGAGAAAUUCAUGAUAAAAUUUCAACACUUGUAAUGUAGAAGCAUUACGAUAAGCCAGUUUUGAUCCUCACCAAUGAAAGUCUAAUUAGCAGAAGAGGAAGAGACUAGUUGACUGGGUAGCUUUCUGCAAUGCCUAUUUUAAGGUUACGCUUCCGGCAAAAAUAUAAUAGAAGACUGCUCUCAUGUCAAAGUUUCUCAUACAUAGAACAACCCGCAAAAGAGAUUAAACAUUCCAAAAGAUGUCUCAACAGAAAUGAAAUGAGAUCCUAACAACUUGUUGGGAAAGUACUAUUUUGCCUUCAAUUCCAUUACUUCCUUUUGCCUUUAAGAGUGCAGUCAUAAUCAUCAAAAUACUUAGACUUUGUGAUAUGUCUUUUGGGCUUGCUAUUCAUCUUUUGUUGCCUCCUCUUGAGCCAUAACACUUUUGGCCUUCCUCUUCCUAUAUUCCCUUGUGUCUCUUGAAGACUGUGCAACAUUACUUCGACUGGAUUAUUCAAUGUGAACAGCACCACCAUAUUCAUCAUCUUUCUUUUUGGAAUAAAGAGGGCAUAUGCCGCAUUCUUUUACUCUGAUAUCGGGCCACCAAUGGCUGAUCUCAAAAGUGAAGCUGCGAGCAUCACAGAGCCUAAGGCUCAUGCCGCUUGCCCUUAGGGACUCCAAGUUAAAUUUCCACACAAAUGUGUGAUCUUUAUCAAGAAAUCUGCCUGCAUCCGUCAAGUUUAACACAUCAUUAUUUGGAAUGAUCUGUGUGCCAUCAUCAUCAGAUUCAAAUUUUAGGCUGUAACCAAAAGAACUAUAUCUACCUUUAAUAUCAUUCGUAUCUAACACUUCAAAAACCACGCACAAAGAGAAACCAGUGAGCCUAUUAUCGCUGCAAAAACUUAAAUCUUCAUUUAUAGUCACUGAAUGUCCCUUCCCACGAAAAUGGAACCAACCAGGAACUGCACUCCCUGGAUAACAGAAGAACACAGACCUAUAUGCAUCGUCGGUCAUCCUAAGCCUUGCAUCCUUCUCAAUGUUAGCACGACCACCUGAAUCCAGUUGUUGAGCAUUGGUGAAAUGAAAUUUGAAUACACCCUCUUUGGAAUUUGAGAGGUUCCGAACAAGAGAAUUUGACAUCACUUUUCUAAUGGAUGGGCAAUCCAAUGCCACGAGUUGUUUUAGAAAUGGUGGAAUCGGUGGGAUGCAUUCAAGCUUUUUGCAGUCGCUUAAAUCAAGCGAUUUCAAGCUCGAAAGAUGAGCAAUGCUCUCAGGAAGGUUCACGAUUCCGCUAUCACGCAGUGACAGUUCCAUUAAUGACGUCAAACGACCAAUGUGCCUUGGGAUUUCUGUUAAUUUGGCACACCCCGAACAAUCAAGUUUAGAGAGAAGCUUCAGAUUAACAAUGCAGUUUGGAAGUGACUCGAGAUCAGUGCAUUUGCGGAGCUCCAGGGAACGAAGAUUAACGAAAUUGGCAAAUGAGGAAGGCAGUUCUUUAACAGUCGUAGAUGUUAAGUUAAUGUGAGCAAAAGUAUGAGCCGACUCCGUGAUCUCUGGGAAGGUCCUCAGCCUUGAGCAACCACGCAAAUCAAGGUUCCUCAACUUCAAAUUGAAAAUGGUGCUUGGAAAAGUUUGAAGUGAAUUACAGUGGGCAAGGUCUAACUUGCAUAGUCUGGUGAGGCUUCCAAUGGAAGAUGGAAUAAUCUCAAGAUUGAAGCAACUGUGCAAACUCAGUUGUUGAAGCCCUACCAAACGGCACAAGGAUGAAGGUAGUGCCUGUAUGGCUGUGUCGUCUAAGAUGAGCACCGCUAGAUCUUCCAACGUGUCCUGAAUCUCGGGUAAAUUUUCCAGUUUUGAGCAACCACUGAGACAAAGUUGCUUUAGGAAUUUCAUAUCAGAAAGGUCAAACGGAAAGAUUGUAAGGGAAGAACAGUCAGAGAGAUCUAAGUAACAGAGGUUCUUGAGACUUUGAAAGUUUAAGGGCACACCUUCCAAGAGACUGUUGAACACCUCUGAGUCUUCUGAGUCUGUAGCAUUAUUAGCCACUUCUAUAUUAUAUCUGUCAAAAGUAAUUGACAAAAUUUCACUGCUUGGGGAAAUUUCACUGGAAGUUGGGAAAUUUAUCUCUUUCGUCAUAUCCAGUUCCUGACGCUCCAGUAUGACAUGAGGGAGAAAUUUAUCUUCAUGUUUACUGAUUGAAAACAUAUUAAGCUUCCGACAAUGGGAAAGAGUAAUCCAUCCUGGUGAUGUGGAUAAAAUGUUGCUCGGAAUAUUUACACUAUUCAGAUCAUCACAAUGAUCUAAACAUAAACAACUGAGUUUGCUGAGGAAUAUCGAAGAGUGAAUUUCAAUCAACUUUUUACAAUAACUCAGAAUUAUUUUUUCAAUAUUUGGUGACAUAGAAAGGUCUGGUAUUCUAGCAAGUUUCCAAGAACGUGUCAGGUCGAGCCUUUUCAAGUUGGGUAAAUUCUGCCACAAAAAGUAAAUGAAUCAGGUAACAAAUAAUAACUACUUUAUCUAUUUUUCUUCCUAUUUAAACUAUUAGCUACUACUAUUGAGUUUAUAUUUUACAUUACUUAAAAACCACUGUUAAAAAAGCCACACUGUGGACUAACAAAAUUAUAUUUUAAAAUAUUAUUAAAGAUAAAAUAUGAAGAUAGGGUAAUUAAAUUAAAUAUAAUUUUUAUUUUUCAGAAAUGAUGAAAAUUAUAAUUAAAUUAACUAAAUUAUAUAAAAUUCCAUUUUAUUUACAUAACUCCUUUUCAUAUUAAAAAACUAUAUAAGAUCUUGAAACUAUAAUUAAUAUCUUAAAAAUUUAAAUAAUAAUAAUUAUUUCUACUCAUCCUUAAUUUUUGUUGGUGAAAUCUUGAUUUUUGGGAUAAUAUCACUUAAACUUAAGAAAUAUUUGACAUUAAUGAACUCUAAACAAAUUUAUAUAAGAAAUCAAGACAUCACUUUCAAUCCGAAAUCUUAAACUAAUAGGUUUAUGGAUUUUCUUUAUAUGUUGUUCAUCUUACCAAUUUGAACCCAAUGCGAGACUUUCAACUCUAAGAGAUGAAGUGGUGUACUUUAUGCUUCUAGGACUUGUUAGAUAUUGAAACAUGUACCAUUGCUAAAAUGUUUGAAUGAAGGAGAAGUCAAAGUCUCUCUCCUUUAGAGAUAUUCGCUCAAGUGGCAAGAGGUUGAUUAAGCAAGAGAGAGAUCGUAUUAAUUCUCUCUUCUAUGCAAUUGUUGUCGUUCAAACAAUGUGGAAUCAUUCAAGCAAAGAAAUCUUCUUUUGGGUUAGGAAACAAGGUUUUUCAAGCGAGAUAAACUCGUCUAAAGAAUUUAACUCUAGUAGUGAAAUGUUGUUGCCAUGAUUUAGCCAAGUGUUUGUAUCUAUGAGGCUAAUGAUGAUGAUGACGAUGAUAAGAUGCAUGAAUGUGUAUACACAAGUGUAUGAUAUACCUCAUGUUAUAUAUUGUAUGUGAUUCAAUUGAUGACCAUUUAUUUUUAGGCCAUUUAUAUGUAUAUUUUGGCCCUUUUAUGAGUAUGUGACGAGAUAUACCUAAGAUUGUAUUAUGAUCCUAAUGAGUCGAAGUAUCAAACACAAAACUCAUUAUGGAAAAAAAAAGAUAUUUUGUGCAUCAGUUAUGAUAUGAUCACAACAAUUAAAGCAUGUGUGAACGGUUAAUAUUGUUCUUAAUAAGAAAACAAAUAAUAUUGUAUGUGACAUUAGAGAUGUCAAAUAGGUUUAGAAAAUUAUUAAGUUUAAUUAUCUUUUUAGUCUUUAUAUUAAUGACCAAAAGUCAAUUCAGAUUUUUAGAAAGUUCAAUAUGAUUUAAUUUUUUAAAAAACAAUUCAAUGUGAUUCCUUCUAGUAUAUUUCCCUUAUUAAAAUAUUUUUAUCUUAAUGAUUCUGCCACUGUUAAGUUAUAUGUGUUGUUAUCACAUUGAAUUGUUUUAAAAAAAUUUGGAACCACCACAUUAAAUUGUUUUAAAAAGUUAGUACUAAAUUGAACUUUUGAAAAUUGGGAGAAUGAAAUUAAAUUUUGUCUAUUAAUACAGGGACAAAAAAUAAUUGAAUCAAAUAUUUUACUAUUUUUGUGAUGUAUAUUUAUAUAUAAAUAAUUUUGAGAAUUUAGAGUUACAAUGUGUUAUAUCAUAUAUAUAUAAUUCUUUUUGGUAAUGUAUCCUGUAGUUGUAAGCAAGUAUGAUUAUAUUAAGUGGGGCGUUUCAAAUAGUGGAGACUACGCAUAUACAAAUAUCUCUUAUAAAGUAAGAAAACAAAACAAUCGUUACUCAAGAAGAUCAUGCAAUGCAUCACAGACAACAUGGGAGAUAUAUAUCAACAAUAAUAUGAGUAAAUAAUACAUUCAUGGGCCAUUAGACGAUAUGCCUAAAAAAAAUAUGCAAACUAUUAAAUUUAUAAUUAUUUUUAAUUAGAAACAUGCUGAGUAUGACUCUUAUGAUAUAUGUAUAACUGUGUGCUUCAAAUAAAAGAAAUUUCAAAUCGAAUAAUGUGGAGAAGGCACAAAGGAAUUGCAAAUGAAAACCUGUAGAUGUAUAAUACACAAAACAUGCUUGUCUAAUUUAUUUUUAUCUUUGAAAGUUUAGAACACAAAGGAACAUAGAUAACUUGAAAAACCUGAUCUCCUUCCCAGAGUUGUUCAAGAUCGCAGUAUGGCAUUUCGAGGAUCACUAGAUUUUGUGGGCAAAAGUUUGGAGGCCAGAAUCUUUGAAGGAAACCGUUCCAAUAAAGAAACUUUAGAGUGUCCGGCAGACCUACAAGAGAUGAUUCAAGAGACACUUUUGAAUUCAAUCUAGGCAUGUAGACCAUAAGCAUCAUAAGAUUGUCCAUCUUUUCGAAACUUUGUGCAUGUACUACAGCAUCUUUUACUUUGUUCGUAUGAUAUUGAUAUACACUGUAUUGCAUCUGACCCCUGAAAGUAAAUCAAUGUAAUUAGAAAAAAAAACAUGAAAUGUUGCAUUUCAGGAUGCUUAAUGACAGCUCAGUAGUUUUCUAUUUUUCACAAAGUAACAACAGCAUAUACCUUGUUCUUUCUUAAAACCUCACAAAUUUCCUCAUCAUUAAACAAUCGGCUGCGUUUUCCAGGAUGCUGAGGACACUCUUUACGAACAAUUUCUUUACCCAUUUCUUGUAUUAGAUCGUGCAUCACAAUUCUACCAUCAAAGACAGAGAUUAGACCCCUAUCUUUGAGAAUAUCCAUUCCAAUCUUAGAAGAGAAACCACAGUCAUCAAGUGUUUCUGCUACCACAGUCUCCUCUUGCCCUCUAUAAAAGCAAGCUAUGUCAAGAAAUAUAUUCUUCUCCUCCUCCUUGAGCCCAUAAUAACUUAAUUUUAAUACGUCGAAAGUUCCAAGAUCUUGGCCGUUUUCCAACUUUUGCAACUGACUCUCCCAUGCUUCUCUUGUUCUGCCAUAAAGCAAUGACCCCAAAAUCUGGAGAGCUAACGGAAUUCCUUUUGCAUAUCUCAACACCUUUACUGACAGGUCCAUGUAAGCAAUUCCUUCUGAAGAUUUUUGUUUAAAAGCAUGUAAACUAAAAAGUUUCAGAGAAUCAUAAAAAUUCAACUCCUUAACUUCGUAGAUAUCAUCAGCUCCAGCAUUCUUAAGCACUUGUCUGUCUCUACUGGUCAUAAUGAUUCUACUGCCCUGCCCAAAACUAUCACUCCCACCUAUUAAUUUUUGAAGUUGAGUUGAAUCGGUAACAUCAUCAAGAAUGAGGAGAACCUUUGUCCGUUUGAGCCUUUCAUUGUAAUAUGGUAAAUAAGAGGAUUUCUCUUCCUUUAGAAGCUCAGACUGAUAUUUUGUUCUGAUACCGUCUAUUCCAUCUCUUUGUAUUUUUUCUUGAACGUCUAAAACAAGGCUGCUGGAAUCAAACUGCAAUGCCAAUUUCUGAUAUAUUUGAUCACAAAUUGUAGUUUUUCCUAUUCCUCCCAUGCCACAAAUUCCUAUGAUCCGAACAUCCGUUGACUCAAGAUGCAACAAGGACUGAAUUCCUUCAAUAUUUUUUUCAAUGCCGAUGAUUCCUUGAUCAUAACUGGCGGAAUAACGAUUCAAUUUUCUCAAAAUAUCUUCCACAAUUUCUUCAACAAGUGCGUGUUCUGGCCUGGCAGAUGAUUUAGAAAAUAAAGUAUAAGUAUUCAAGCACAAAAGCUAAAGUAAACUAAAGAAAAAUUUUACAGUAACCGUUUGUGACUUCUGAUACUAGGGAGCAUACUUGUAGGUACAAAGUUAAGCUAUUGUGUGAUAUGGUUCAGAUCUAUGACCGACUAAUAGAAAUGAAAAAAGAAGCACUUGAUUUAUGGUGAGAUGAACACAAUUUUAGUAAAUGAAAAGAGAUCCUGAUUAUCUAAUAAAUAUAAUGACCUGGUGACUUUUGAAUCCCAGCCUGCAAGUCCAGCAGCUUCGGUGAGAGCAUCCUUCCAUCCUUGCACUGUGUCGUGCUUAAAGUGCUGCUCAUGCUCAUUGAAUGCUUCUUUGUAUCUUUCUUCCUGCUUCCUAAUAGUUGAUGGAUCCACCUUGUAGAAAACAGGUAUCACAUCCCUUCCAUAUCUCUUCUUGCAAUCAAGUAUCUUAGUGAGUUCAUCCAAGCACCAUGUGGAAGAUGCAUAGUUUUUGGAGAAAACGAUGACAUAAAUCUUUGAUUCUUCUAUUGCAGAGAGGAGUACAGGUGAAAUUUCUUGGCCCCUGAGUAAUCUGUAAUCAAUAUAUGCUUGAAUGUUCUUCCUUUGCAGCGCUGCAUAAAGGUGACUAAUGAAGUUGUCACGUGUGUCUUCCCCUCUGAAGCUGAGAAACACAUCAUGCUUUGUUAAAGAAGCAGACAUGGCCAAUGAUGAAGGGUUUCAAUGUUCUCUGCAACUCUCAGAUCCCUUUGUUUGUAAGCAACUUCCAUAUAUUCUAUUAGGAAGGAAAAUAUAUAUUUCUACCAUUCCUACCACAAAUUGAAAAAGCCUUUCAAUUUUCUCAAAAUAUCUUUCACAGCUGUGUUCUGUCAGAUACGAAACAUUGAGUCAAUGGAAGAGUCAACAAUUGGCAGAAUAUUAUGGUGUGUAGCUUUAUACCAUUCUUACAAUAUUUGAUUGGUUGAAUAUAUACAAUAUGACUAAUGAACUUUUUUCUUUUCCGUAUUCCACGAUAAUUCCCUAGGCACCCUAUUAUACACUUUCUUAUCAACGGAAACCAUGUCUGUCCUUUUAUAGUUUUAAUCCUAUAAUAUCUUUCCAUUAAUCAUCAUUAUCACUCUUCAACCUUCAUAUCAAGUGUAUUGAUUUCAUACUUCAUCAGCUAGACAUAAUAAAAUCUCAAUAAUCUUUUAUACUGUCAACAUUUAUAAAAAAUAUUUCCUUCAAUAAUAUUUGUACUUUCUAGCAUAUAGAAUACUUAAUGGAUUCUUCUGUGAUUUUUCUUUCCUAAAGUACAAUUGAUAUUUUAACAGAUGCCGAAAGGUCUUGAAUAUGAGGCUGUUUCGAAAUGAAAAUUGGGGUAAAGCAUUUUCAAGUUAACAAGUUUUGUUGGGUGAGUGAGUGAUCAGUGCUAGCAUUUUCAAUCUCAGUUAUAGAAUGUAAAGAUUUACACAUUUAUUUGCUGAUUAAUAAUUUAUUUAUUGAAUUAAAUGUUUUAACAGUGAGUAUGGAUUCUUGAAUGAAUGUAAUCAUGGUGUAGAAUGUACAUAGUACAUAUAGUGAGUUGGAUUGAAAUGUUGAACACGUUUUCCUCUGCAAAGAUUCAGGAUAUUUAUGAACUUGCUAUAAAUUGUUUUAACUUUUCUCUGCAACUCUCAGUCCCUUUGUUUCUACCAUUUUGUUUUUGAAAAGCCUUUCAAUUUUCUCAAAAUAUCUUUCACUGCUGUGUUCUGUCAGAUACGAAACAUUGAGUCAAUGGAAGAGUCAACAAUUCGUAGAAUAUUAUAUUAUGGUGUCAAUAUUUAAUAAAUUUAUUUAUUUCUUUAACAUAUUUUAGAAAAUAACCAGUAAACAUAAAACUUUUAGUAUGACUAAAAGAAUAAAGAUAGUGUAAGAAUAACAGGAAUAACAUUACUACAAAUAACAAUAUAUUAAUAUUAAUAUGUUUCUUAAUAAAUUUUACACCCACUGUCUAUUUAUAAAUUAAUAUAUUAUAAACAUCUAUUGAUUUUUUGUGGGUAGCUUAUUUCUGUAACAUUUUAAAUUAAUUUUUUAGAUUUUACAAAACAUUACAUUUUGAUUAUAAUAUUUAGGACUGUGAUGCAAUUUCUGCAAUGAAGGCUGGCAGACUAAGUUUCUCCAAGCCCAAUUAAUACUGGGUUGAAAAUUCUGAGAAGAGGGUGAGUAUGAUGCUGCGGUCAUGAUCUAUGUAUUAAAGUGUUAAGGCAUGGGUUUGGUUGACAGGACAAUACUGGUUUUUCAUUGCUACUACUUAAUAUGAUUCUUUCUUACUGCUAUAUGAAUUUGCUGUCAAAUAGCAGUAAAUAAAAGACUUCAAAUAAAGCAUGUGUUUAUCAUACAUGGACUAAUGCAGCAGUUUUAGUAGAAGGGGCUAAUAUGAUUUUAAUCUAGAACAAGAUGGCUAAACCCAAAGAUGGUGGGAAUAAUAUCCUCAAAUCAAUUGUUUUGGUUUUCAGUGUAAUGUCAUUUGUAAGUAUCAAAAUUUGUUUGUUAUCACAUUGGAAGGUAGUAUCUGUCAUGAAAUUUGUGGAAGACCUUUACCUAUGUUUGCUUUGGGUCUGUUUUACGCCCUCUCGAAUUAAGUAAAUUUUUAAUUGCCAUCAUGAAAUUAGGCUAAAUAUGUGUAGUUUUGAGCACUUUCUUUCUUCCAUUUCAAUUCAUAGUUUCAUACAUAUUCAAUAUCAUGUGGGAAUUAAGUUCUUGCUUUUAAGGUGAAUAACAGUUUGUAUUCUUGCAGAAAACUAUUUUCUAAUGCAUAUAAAUUUCAUUUUCUAUUUUCAGCAUUGGAUUAUGUUAUGUAAUUUUUCCUUUGUAUUAUACAGAGUAGGAUUUUAAUGUUUCUACUGAACAGUGCUAUCUUUUUUCGUCCAUAUUCUGAUUUUGUUCAAUUUUUUUCAGUAUGUGCCACAUGCAGAUCAGAUGUAAGGAAUUUUCUAAAUUUUUUUUCAAGCUUUCUUGUUUGCUUAAAGUUUUCUGUAAGUAUUUAACUGUCUUAAGUUGUUAAUGAGGACUAAGGACUGAAAAAGAGAAUUAGCCAUGACAUGGUGGCAUUAUCCUUCUUCAAAACCAUUAGUUUUUUUUCCUACAAAGAUACAUGUCAAGAAAGCAAACCAGGAACAAAAGUGAUGUUUAUGAUUGCUUUCUCUCUUGUUUACUUGCUUUCUUUUUGUUGGACAAUUGUCUUAAUUGCAUUCACACCUAACCUGCAGUAGUUUCAGUCCCUUUGGGGUUGUCAUAAUUGCAGCCUCAAGAGUGGUGGUGUAGUCCAACAUCAACCAGUGAUAUAGUUCAAAUAUAGCAUAUACAUGAAAGUCGUGUUGAUAAUCAAAGGUUGCUUCAUCUUAACUAAUAACAUGUAAAUGUCAUUUGAAUGGUUAAAAAGGAAUUCACCAGUGUAACACAAAAUGAAUGGAUUGCUUGGUUAUGUGUCAACUGUUGUACUUUUUUUGAGUUGCUUGAAAAUAAUUAAAAUUUGUUUUCAUCUAGAUCUUGGUUUUUUCCUAUGAUCAAAUCUCGAUUUAUUUCUGUGCAGAACUUUCUUGUGGACAUAAAAGGACCAGCUAUAGCAUUUUUACCGGUGCUUGCAUUUGAAGGAGGAACUAGAAGAAAUAUACCUAGGUUUGAGGUGUGUAUAAAUUAUUUUUGAUGUAUUUCGUGAUGUAGAUGUAAAAUAAUGCAAUACUUUGUUUUUAGUUUCAAUGUUACUCUUUAUCUGCAGGUUGGAAACAUAUCUUGAUGAAAUAUAGAAACAUUUUUAUUCAUAAUAUAUAUAUAAGGAUUACACAUUCAUAAUUAUUUCUUUCUGUCGUAGCAUUGUCUACCUCAAAUCACUGCAACUUUCUGUUGUUGGUAUAAAAAUACAAUAUUUUAAUCCCAGUUUUGAUAGCCUCUAUUCUUCAGUGGUUGAGAUAUUUUUUAUAAGAAUUUAGAAGUUCUGAGAUAUUUAUGAUAAGAAUUUCAAGUUCUUUGUUACUAGCAGUUUAAUGGUUAUAUCAUUUUUGUUCUCUGGAAAAUAUCUUAUACAAAAUCGGUACUUAGAUUUGGUAUUUAUAUUGUUCAUAUGUAGAAAUCUAAUACUAGCAAAUUUUGUCUAAUUUAAAAGCAAUUACAUUCUACUCUUUGGAAUAUGUUCUGGCCUGCUUUUAUGAAUUAUUUGAAAAUUUGUAAUUAUAAAAUUUAGUCUUUGAAAUUAUAAAUUUAAUAGAGAAGCAUCCAUACUAAACUUUUAUAUUAUAAAUUGUCAGUUUUAUAUUGAAAACAUAUCCCCUUUAGUAUAAGACUUAAAGGAGAUGUCUUUUGGUAUAAAAACUGAAAUAAAAAAUAUUUUAACUAUAUGGGUCAAAUGGAUGAUUAAACUUAUAAAAUGUACAAUUAAACUUAUAAAUUAUAAUAAACGAUACUUUAAUUUUAAACUAUAUUGAACUUUUAUUAAUGUUCUCGCUUUUCUUUAAAAGCUAUUGAACUCUAUCUAACAAUAACUUAAAAAUGAGAAAUUCAUGAUAAAAUUUCAACACUUGUAAUCUAGAAGUAUUACGAUAAGCCAGAAGAGGAAGAGACUAGUUGACUGGGUAGCUUUCGGCGUUCCUCUUCCUAUCUUCCCCUGUUUCUCCUGAAGAGUGUGCAACAUUGCUUCCACUGAAUUCUUCAAUGUCAUUUUCUGAUGCAGAAUAGUCAACAGCACCACCAUAUUUAUCAUCUUUCUUUUUCGUAUAAAGAGGGCAUAUGCCGCAUUCUUUUAUUCUGAUACCUGAUUUCAACUCUCUCUCAACUGAUUCGUAAUCUGGCCGAUUUGGCCGCAGAAAGGGAUCAUACGGACUGAUCUCAAAAGUGAAGCUGCGAGCAUCACACAGCCUAAGGCUCAUGCCGCUCGCCAUUAGGGACUCCAAGUUAAAUUUCCACACGAAUGUCCCUUCACCAUCCCAUUUGAAAUAGCUAUUUAACACACCCUUAUAUGGAAUGAUCUGUGUGCCAUCAUCAUAUUCAAAUUUUAGGCUGUAACGAAAAGAACCAUAUCCACCUUUAAUAUCUAACACUCCAAAAGCUACACACAAAGCGAAACCAGUGAGCCUAUCAUCGCUGCAGAAACUUAAAUCUUCAUUUAUAGUCACUGAAUGUCCCUUCCCACGAAAAUUGAACCAACCAGGAACUGCACUCCCUGGAAAACAGAACAACACACACCUAUAUGUAUCGUCGAUCAUCCUAAGCCUUGCAUCCUCCUCGAUGUUAGCACGAGCACCUGAAUCCAGUUGUUGAGCAUUGGUGAAAUGAUAUUUGAAGACACCCUCUUUGGAAUUUGACAAGUUUGGAACAAGAGAAUUUGACAUCACUCUUCUAAUGGAUGGGCAAUCCAAUGCCUCGAGUUGUUCUAGAAAUGGUGGAAUCGGUGGAAUGCAUUCAAGCUUUUUGCAGUCGCUUAAAUCAAGUGAUUUCAGGCUUGAAAGAUGAGCAAUGCUCUCAGGAAGGUUCACGAUUCCGCUAUCACGCAGUGACAGUUCCAUUAAUGACGUCAAGCGACCGAUGUGUCUUGGGAUUUCUGUUAAUUUGGCACACCCCGAACAAUCAAGUUUAGAGAGAAGCUUCAUAUUAACAAUGGAGUUUGGAAGUGACUCGAGAUAAGUGCACUCUUGGAGUUCCAGGGAUCGAAGAUUAACCAAAUUGCCAAAUGAGGAAGGCAGUUCUUUAACAGCCGUACAUGUCAAGUCAAUAUGAGCAAAAGUAUGAGCCGGCUUCAUGAUCUCUGGGAAGGUCCUCAGCCUUGAGCAACCACCCAAAUCAAGCUUCCUCAAUUUCAAAUUGAAAAUGGUGCUUGGAAAAGUUUGAAGUGAAUUACAGUAGGUAAGGUGUAACUUGCAUAGUCUGGUGAGGCUUCCAAUGGAAGAUGGAAUAAUCUCAAGAUUCAAGCAACUGUGCGAACUCAGUUGUUGAAGCCCUACCAAACGGCACAAGGAUGAAAACUUAUUUUAUUUUUGCUGUUCAUGCAUAACAUUAACAAAUAUUGACAUGAGAGAUUGUGUUUGUAGGCUUCUAAGCUCACCAACGUGUCCCGUUCUUGAUGCUUUAGGGAAGAAAAUUUCCUUUGAGAUUGCAAAAGGACUCAGGAGAAUUUAGAAGUUCUGAGAUAUUUAUGAUAAGAAUUCAAGUUCUUUGUUACUAGCAGUUUAAUGGUUAUAUCAUUUUUGUUCUCUGGAAAAUAUCUGAUACAAAAUUGGUACUUAGAUUUGGUAUUUAUAUUGUUCAUAUGUAGAAAUCUAAUACUAUAGCAAAUUUUAUCUAAUUUAGAAGCAAUUAUAUUCUACUCUUUGGAAUAUGUUCUGGCCUGCUUUUAUGAUUGUAAUUAUAAAUUUAAUAGAGGAGAUUACCAAACAUCCAUACUAAUUAAACUUUUAUAUUAUAAAUUUUUUCAGUUUUAUAUUGAAAACAUAUCCCUUUAGUAUAAGACUUAAAGGAGAUGUCUUUUGGUAUAAAAACUGAAAUAAAAAAUCUUUUAACUAUAUGGGUCAAAUGGAUGAUUAAACUUAUAAAUGUACAAUUAAACUUAUAAAUUGUAAUAAACGAUACUUUAAUUUUAAACUCUAUUGAACUUUUUUUAAUGUUCUCGCUUUUCUUUUAAAUGCAUUUCACUUGUGUGUUUUGUAUUCAGGCUGAUUUUAACUUUAUUCUCAAAUAUACAAAAUAAUUUUUGGUAAUUAUCUUGUGUCGAUCUUGACUUGUAGUAUCAAUGUGAAAUAUGUAAUAAUUACUUUUCUAUGAUUCAGAGGGAAAAUUAUUCCAACUAGACUUUUACAAAUAUAUUUCAAGUGGUAAUAUGAUUUUAAAAAAAAUAGGAUUCGCCACAAAAAAAAGUUACUGUUCCUAAUUGACAUGGUGCUGUCAAAAUUAUUUAAUUACAAUUUAGAUCUUCACUCUACAUAUAAUUAAUUAAUUACCAAUUAUUUAAAAGACUAGUAAAUUAUAAUUUUAAUCUCUCUACAACUUUCUAAAUUUAGUUAUGAUUCUCUCAAAAAAAUUUCCCUUAAAUAUUAAUUAUAAUUACCUUUAGACAGAAACAUUUCUAAUUUAAACAAGCAAAAAUAAGAAAAAAAAAUAGAUUACAAAAACUAAAUUUGAAUUUUUUUAUAUAACUCCAAAUAUAUUUUAUCCAUAAAUAAAUUCUAUUAAUAUUUCAUUUCUGUUUAAAUAGUUUAUUCAUAUUUGUAAUAUUAUUUUCAAAAAACAAUAAUUGUUUUUUGAAUAAAGGUUUACAAAUUCUAUAAUAAUGUAAAUGAGAAGAGGAGUGAGGGUAAAAAUAUGAGAACCUAUGUGAGGGAAUCUUGUGACAAUUUAGCUGGUGUUCAACUUGUGAGAAGUCUUUCAACUUGGUUUUCAAGUUUUAUAUUCAAUUUCUGUUCCUUCAAAUGUUUCUGAUUUUACAGCUCCUCAGGAUUUUACAGCUCCAUGCACAAACCUAAUACAAUGAUAUGAUAUUCAAUCAGCAUUAAUUAGCAUAAACAGGUACCUUGUUGUAAAACUGGGAAUAUGAGAUUCCAUAGGAUGGAGAAAAGUAUGAAGAGGAAUUACCAAUCACCAUUUACCAAUCAUAAUGCCUUCACUACAAAUGCAACCCAAAUAUGCUAAAGAAGUUAAUGAAACUAUAUAUGAAGAGUUUCAAGAAGAUGCAACUCUGGGACAACAGAGCAACCCAUCUCAUGCUGAACACAAACAUCAAACUACAUCUAACAAUAAUUCAGAAAUCUUAAUCAACAAUUGAGCGAACCCACUCCUAAAAUGCCAUUGAGAAUGUAAAUAAAUCAAAAUACAUUAAAAACGAGAAAUUCUUAAUAAAAAUUCAACGUGUUGAACCUUGUAAUUUAGAAGUAUUAACGAGAAGCCAGUUUAGAUCCUCACCAAUGAAAGACUAUUUUACAGGUUAGCUUCCACUGGAUUCUUCAAUGUGAACAGCACCACCAUAUUUAUCAUCUUUCUUUUUGGAAUAAAGAGGGCAUAUGCCGCAUUCUUUUAUUGUCACAACUGACCACCCAAAGUCAUAAAGAGGACUGAUCUCAAAAGUGAAGCUGCGAGCAUCACACAGCCUAGGGCUUAGGGAUUCUAAGUUAAAUUUCCAGACGAAUGUGUGAUCUUUAUCAACAAAACUGUAUUCACCAUUCCAUUUGAAAUGUCUGUUUAACCUAUCAUUAUUUGGAAUGAUAUGUGUGCCAUCAUCAUCAGAUUCAAAUUUUAGGCUGUAACCAAAAGAACCAUAUCUACCUUUAACAGAAUUCGUAUCUAACACUCCAAAAACCACACACAAAGCGAAACCAGUGAGCCUAUCAUCGCUGCAGAAACUUAAAUCUUCAUUUAUAGUCACUGAAUGUCCCUUCCCACGAAAAUGGAACCAACCAGGAACUGUACUCCCUGGAAAACAGAAGAACACAGACCUAUAUCUAUCAUCGGUCAUCCUAAGCCUUGCAUCCUCCUCAAUGUUAGCACGACCACCUGAAUCCAGUUGUUGAGCAUUGGUGAAACGAAAUUUGAAGACACCCUCUUUGGAAUUUGACAAGUUUUGAACAAGAGAAUUUGGCAUCACUCUUCUAAUGGAUGGGCAAUCCAAUGCCACGAGUUGUUUUAGAAAUGGUGGAAUCUGUGGGAUGCAUUCAAGCUUUUUGCAGUCGCUUAAAUCAAGCGAUUUCAAGCUUGAAAGAUGAGCAAUGCUCUCAGGAAGGUUCACGAUUCCGCUAUCACGCAGUGACAGUUUCACUAAUGACGUCAAGCGACCGAUGUGUCUUGGGAUUUUUGUUAAUUUGGCACACCCCGAACAAUCAAGUUUAGAGAGUAGCUUCAGACUAACAAUGGAGUUUGGAAGUGACUCGAGAUCAGUGCAUUUGCGGAGCUCCAGGGAUCGAAGAUUAACGAAAUUGGCAAAUGAGGAAGGCAGUACUUUAACAGCCGUAUAUGAUAAGUCAAUGCGAGCAAAAGUAGGAGCCCGCUCCGUGAUAUCUGGGAAGGUACUCAGGCUUGAGCAACCACACAAAUCAAGCUUGCUCAAUUUCAAAUUGAAAAUGCUGCUUGGAAAAGUCUGAAGUGAAUUACAGCGGGUGAGGUGUAACUUGCAUAGUCUGGUGAGGCUUCCAAUGGAAGAUGGAAUAAUCUGAAGAUUGAAGCAACUGCGCAAACUCAGUUCUUCAAGCCCUAUCAAACGGCACAAGGAUGAAGGUAGUGCCUGUAUGGCUGUGGCGUCUAAGAUGAGCACCGCUAGAUCUUCCAACGUGUCCUGAAUCUCGGGUAAAUUUUCCAAUUUUGAGCAACCACGGAGAGAAAGUUGAUUUAUGAAUUUCAUAUCAGAAAGGUCAAUUGGAAAGAUUGUAAGAGAAGAACAGUGAGAGAGAUCUAUGUGAGAGAGCUUCUUGCCACUAAAUUGUAAGGGCACACCUUCGUAGUCUUCUGAGUAUUCUGAGUCUGUAGCAUUAUUAGCAUUUAUCUCUUUCAUCAUAUCCGGUUCCUGACGCUCCAGUAUGACAUGAGGGAGAAAUUUAUCUUCAUGUUCACCCAAUGAAAACAUAUUAAGCUUCUCACAACCGGAAACACUAAUCCAUCCUGGUGAUGUGGAUAAAAUGUUGCUGGGAAUAUUUACACUUUUGAGAUUAGAACAAUGAUCUAAACAUAAACAACUGAGCUUGGUGAGGAAUAUCGAAGAGUGAACUUCAAUCAACUUUGAACAAUAACUCAGCUUUAUUUCUUCAAUAUUCGGUGACAGAGAAAGGUCUGGUAUUCUAGUAAGUUCCCAAGAUUUAACCAGGUCGAGCCUUUUCAAGUUGGGUAAAUUCUGCCAGAAAUAGUAAAUGAAUGAGGUAACAAAUAAAAACUACUUUAUCUAUUUUUCUUCCUAUUUAAACUAUUAGCUACUAUCUAUUGAGUUUAUAUUUUACAUUACUUAAAAACCACUGUUAAAAAAACCACACUGUGGACUAACAAAACUCUGCCUAUAAAUUUUAUAGUUAUUAUAAAAAAUCACAAAAUUUAACGUCUUUUUGUUCCCUACCUAAAAUUACAUCCUAAUCAUUUGAACCUAAACUUAUUAUGUAUUCAAAAACUUAUGAUAGUAAUUUAUAAUCGAUCACAAUGUCAAAAUACUUUAUAUUAUACAUGUAUCAACUCACAAAAUAAAUGGUGUUGUCUCAGAUUUAAAAUUAAACCUUAGUUAAAAAGUCCAUCUUUCCAUAAUUUAUUUUAUUAAAUACAUAAUUUGUAAUUUAUUGUAUAUUAUAUUCAAGUUUAUGUUAUGAUAAAAAAAGUAUCUAAGGCAUUUUUAAUUAAAUAAUAUAAAAUAAACAACAUGAACUCAAUUAAAUAAUAUAAAUUUUUUUGAAUACUCGAUGGAAUAAAAAAAUUAAUAAAACCCUCAAUUUGAAAAUAACCAAAUUUAUAAGAUACUUAAAACUUAAUUAAACCUACAAAUUUUCAUUAUAUGGAAUUAAAUAUUGUAAAGAUUUACCACAUAAGUUUCAUAAGUAGAAGGUUUAAACAUAAAAUUCUUCACGUUGGGAGUUUCUUUCCUCUAUCUUAUAAGUUUUCGUUGUUUCUUUAAUAUUUUUUAUAUGGCUUCUGUCAAUGUAAUUUUUUUUUUGGUUUUAAAAUAUUAUUAAAGAUAAAAUAUGAAGACAGGGUAAUUAAAUUAAAUAUAAUUUUUAUUUUUCAGAAAUGAUGAAAAUUAUAAUUAAAUUAACUAAAUUAUAUAAAAUUCCAUUUUAUUUACAUAACUCAUUUUCAUAUUAAAAAACUAUAUAAGAUCUUCCAAAGUAGAUAUAAUACAUUCACGGGCCAUUAGAUGAUAUGCCUAAAAAAAUAUGCAAACUAUUAAAUUUAUAAUUAUCUUUAAUUAGAAACAUGCUGAGUAUGACUCAAAUAAAAGAAAUUUCAAAUCGAAUAAUGUCGAGAAGGCACAAAGGAAUUGCAAAUGAAAACUUGUAUAUGUAUAAUACAGAAAACAUGCUUGUAUAAUUUAUUUUUAUCUUUGAAAGUUUAGAACACAAAGGAACAUAGAUAGCUUGAAAAACCUGAUCUCCUUCCCAGAGUUGUUCAAGAUGGCAGAAUGGCAUUUCGAGGGUCACUAGAUUUUGUGGGCAAAAGUUUGGAGGCCAAAAUCUUUGAGGGAAAUGUGUCCAAUAAAGAAUCUUUAGAGUGUCUGGCAUAUCCACAAGAGGUGAUUCAAAAGACACUUUUAAUUCCAAUCCCCACGUGUAGAGCCUAAGCACCCUAAGAUUGUUCAUCUUUUCGAAACUUUGUGCAUGUACUACAACUUCUUUUACUUUGAAAGUAGAUAGUGAUAUACACUCUAUUGAAGUAGAUAGUGAUAUACACUCUAUUGCAUCUGACCCCUGAAAGUAAAUCAUGAAAUGUUGCAUUGCAGGAUGUUUGAUGACAGCUCAGUGGUUUGCAAUUUUUCACAAAGUAAAUCCAUUCUCAAUUGAGUAACGACAUAAUACCUUGUUCUUUCUUAAAACCUCUCAAAUUUCCUCAGCAUUAAACAAUCGGCUGCGUUUUCCAGGAUGCUGAGGACACUCUUUACGAACAAUUUCUUUACCCAUUUCUUGUAUUAGAUCGUGCAUCACAAUUCUACCAUGAAAGACAGAUAUUAGGCCCCUAUCUUUGAGAAUAUCCAUUCCAAUCUUGGAAGAGAAACCACAGUCAGCAAGUAUUUCUGCUACCACAAUCUCUUGUGACCUAUAUAAAAGCAAGCUAUGUCAAGAAAUAUAUUCUUCUCCUCCUCCUCGAGCCCAUCAUAACUUAAUUUUAAUACAUUGAAAAUACCAAGAUGUUGGCCCUUUUCCAACUUUUGCAACUGACUCUCCCAUGCUUCUCUUGUUCUUCCAUAAAGCAAUGACCCCAAAAUCUGGAGAGCUAAUGGAAUCCCUUUUGCAUAUCUCAACACCUUUUCUGACAGUUCCCUGUAAGCAAUUUCUUCUGAAGAUUUUUGUUUAAAAGCAAGUAAACUAAAAAGUUUCUGAGAAUCAUCAAAAUUCAACUCCUUAACUUCGUAGAUAUCAUCAGCUCUAGCAUUCUUAAGCACUUGUUUGUCUCUACUGGUGAUAAUGAUUCUACUGCCCUGCCCAAAACUAUCACUCCCUCUUAUUAAUUUUUGAAGUUGAGCUGAAUCGGUAACAUCAGUUAGAAGUGGAACACGUUUGUAGAAGUGGAACACGUUAGUUGGUUAGUUGCCUUAAGAAGCGGAUCAUGUAUUUUUUCUUGAACGUCUAAAACAAGGCUGCUGGAAUCAAACUGCAAUUCCAAUUUGUGAUAUAUUUGAUCACAAAUUGUAGUUUUUCCUAUUCCUCCCAUGCCACAAAUGCCUAUGAUCCGAACAUCCGGUAAGUCAAGAUGCAACAAGGACUGAAUUCCUUCAAUAUUUUUUUCAAUGCCGAUGAUUCCUUGAUCAUAACUGAUGGAAUAACGAUUCAAUUUUCUCAAAAUAUCUCCCACAAUUCCUUCAACAAGUGUGUGUUCUGACCUGGCAGAUGAUUUAGAAAAUAAAGUAUAAGUAUUCAUGCACAAAAGCUAAAACAAAACUAAAGAAAAAUUCAGAGUCAAGAAGAGUGAACAUCAUUGAAUAGAUUCACAUAUUGAUUGUAGGACGUUAUCUUCGAAUAUUAGUGUGGUUGGUUUAGAAAUUGCAAAUCAAGAUCGCAGAAAUUCUACAGUAACCGGUAGUGACUUCUGAUACUAGGAAGCAGUCUUGUAGGUACAAAGUUAAGCUAUAAGAUGUGAUAUGGUUCAGAUCUAUGACCCACUACGAAAAAUGGAAAAAAGAAACACUUGAUUUAUGGUGAGAUGAACACAAUUUUAGUAAAUGAAAAGAGAUCCUGAUUAUCUAAUAAAUAUAAUGACCUGGUGACUUUUGAAUCCCAGCCUGAAAGUCCAGCAGCUUCGGUGAGAGCAUCCUUCCAUCCUUGCACUUUGUCGUGCUUAAAGUGCUGCUCAUGCUCAUCGAAUGCUUCUUUGUAUCUUUCUUCCUGCUUCCUAAUAGUUGACGGAUCCACCUUGUAGAAAACAGGUAUGACAUCCCUUCCAUAUCUCUUCUUGCAAUCAAGUAUCUUAGUGAGUUCAUUCAAGCACCAAGUGGAAGAUGCAUAGUUUUGGGAGAAAACGACGAUAUAAAUCUUCGAUUCUUCUAUUGCAGAGAGCAGUGCAGAUGAAAUUUCUUCGCCCCGGGGUAGUGUCUCAUCAAUAUAUGCUUCUAUGUUCUUCCUUUGCAGUGCUGGAUGAAGGUGGCUAAUGAAGUUGUCACGUGUGUCUUCCCCUCUGAAGCUGAGAAACACAUCAUGCUUUGUUAGAGAAGUGGACACGGGGAAUGAUGAAGAACUUCCUGUUUAAUUUCUUC
rnacentral:lncRNA from 1 species